GAACGCACAUUGCGCCCCUUGGUAUUCCGAGGGGCAUGCCUGUUCGAGCGUCAGUUGACCGAUCAAGCCUGGCUUGGUAUUGGGGCCCGCCCUCCAGCGGCCUCUAAACACAGUGGUGGUGCCGUUAGGCUCUCAGCGUAGUAAUUCUUCUCGCUACAGAGUCCUGCGGUUACUUGCCAUAACCCUAAUUUUUUUAUGGUUGACCUCGGAUCAGGUAGGGAUACCCGCUGAACUUAAG
rnacentral:misc_RNA from 1 species